UAAAAAGACAAAAGUCUAUUCCAUCAAGGAUCUUAGAGUCUAGUUCAAAAUAAAGAAGAGUAAAUAAACGCUUCACACAAGGCCCCGAGCACAGAGCUGAGAACAGAAGAACUGUGAAUUCAGGAGCCACGUCAGGUGUAGGGGCUGGGAAGGUUUCACCUACUUGUCUUAAAGCUGGAGCAGUACUUGCAAAUGGUCUGAUUGCUUAAGUUAUUUUCUUUGUCUUUGGAUAUAGGAUAUCUUUUUUGGUAGUUUCCAGUCUAUUUUAUUGAUGGUUGUUCAGCGGUUAGCUGUAAUUGGAGUGUUUUCAUGACAGAGGGUAAGCUUAAGUCCUUUUACUUUGCCAUCUUGUCUGGGGUUUCUGAUUGCUUAAAUUAUCUGUGCUCUAUGCAAGACACAUUCUUUCAUUGGAGAUCCUGAUAAUAGCCAUGGAUUUCCCAUUCAGUUAUGCUUUCGCGAUUAAAAACAUCCUCAAAGUAUUGAGGCAGAAUGGCGCAGGGCGGGAUGGGGUGGAGGUGCCCAGUUGGGAGCCAGGGGCUUGUAGGGGAGCAGCGGAGUCAGGGACAAGCCUGACCUAACCAAUUCUCAGAGUGGGGAUGAAGAGGCUGGGAAAAAAGUCCCAGUCAAGAAACACCUGGUUGUCUCUGGAUCUUUGCCUCGUAAAAUAAAAAGUCAAGCAUCUGAUGUUGGCCGCCAUCCCUGGCAACUGGAGGAAAUCCCCAGAAUCCUGCUCUUGAACAAAUGGCGGUCUCAAGCUCUAGGGCUGAGGGGUGUGCCUGCUUCCAAGGAACCCAGGUGUUUUAGGCAGAUUUUUCUUCAGAUACAAGGCACCGGAACCCCAAAGAGCCUGGCUGGCUUUAAACCAAAAAAUAGAAUUUAAAAAAAAAAUUAAAGUAUAGUUGAUUUACAGUGUUGUACCAAUUUCCUCUGUACAGCAAAAUGACCCAGUCAUACAUAUUUAUACCUUUCCUUUCUUAUAUUAUCUUCCAUCACGGUCUAUUCCAAGAGACUGGACAGAGUUCCCUGUGCUGUACCGUAAGACCUCAUUGCUUAUCCAUUCUAAAUGUAAUAAUUUUGCAUCUACUAACCCCAAACUCCCCAUCCAUGCCACUCCUCCCUCUUCUCCUUGGCAACCACGAGUCUGUUCUACAUGUAAAAAGGGGGAAUUUAUUGAUCUGUCUAAUAGAAAUAUAGAGAGGGAUUUCAUGAAGAGAAGGAUAUGGGAACUCCAAAGAUAUUAUCAGGAAUAGUAAUUUUCCAUAUUUUAAUUUUUUUUUUUUUUUUUUUGUCUUUUUGUCUGUUCUAGGGCCUCACUGGCAGCAUAUGGACGUUCCCAGGCUAGGGAUCUAAUCGGAGCUGUAGCCACCGGCCUACACCAGAGCCACAGCAAAGCCAGAUCCGAGCUGCGUCUGUGACCUACACCACAGCUCACGGCAACACCAAAUCCUUAACCCACUGAGCAAGGCCAGGGAUCGAACCCACAACCUCAUGGUUCCUAGUCGGAUUCGUUAACCACUGUGCCAUGACGGGAACUCCUGUAAAGCACUUUGAAUGAGGUUGGUUUUCCAGGACAAAGUCACGUGUCCACCCUCGACCGUCUUCCCCAGAUAGAGAGCAAAUGCUCAGCGAAUGUUAGGAGUUAAGACUAUUACUUUUACUACCCCAGCCCUUCUCUCAUGGGAAUUUCCAAAACACAGAAAGGGAGCUCCAGUUACCAUAGAGUAACAAUCAAAAGUAAAGCACUUGUGAGUAUAUUGAGCUGGAGCUGCCCUCCCCCGUGUGUAGGGUAUGUCAGAUAGUCCCAGUACUCUCUUUUAGCUUCUGGUUUCUCAGCAUCCUGUCACUCUGGGAUCAGUAAGAUGUUUCCCAGGGGCAUCACUGAAGAGGAGUUUGUCCCUUAAGAAAGACAGCUGCGGAGUUCCCACUGAGGUUCAGCAGGAUAAGAACACAACAUGGUCUCUGCGAGGAUGUGGGUUUGAUCCCUGGUCUCUCCCCGUGCUUAAGGAUCCGGAAGCCAUAGCAUAGGUCGUAGAUGCAGCUCAGAUCUGGUGUCGCUGUGGCUGUGGCUGUGGCAUAGGCCGGCAGCUGCAGCUCCAAUUAGAACCCUAGCCUGGGAACUUUCAUUGCAAGUGCAGCCAUUAAACAAACAAACAAACAAAAAGACACCUGGCCUGGAAGUCUGGGGUGGAGAAGGAGGGAGGGAGGCAGAGUACAGACGAGUGACUCUUUUCAAAACACAUCCACUUCUUGGAAGCCUCCUGGGCCACUGCACUUACUCAGAGACCCAAGCCUCCCUGAUAUUACUAGGAAGAAAGAGUUUGUCUCUUUCUUGCAAGAACUUUCUUUCCUCUCCCUCCUAUUGCCUUUAUCUUGGACUGACCCAGUUCACUUCUGGUCCUCCGUGGGCCAUCUGGGUUCUUUUCCCCUUUCCUUCGAUAAGGUGGUUUCUGUGUCACAGAGAUGAGACACACACAUAUCCACUGAGGAGCAAAGAGUGGGGGUCAGCAGCUUCUUAAAUAUUUCGGUUACGAGGAUAAUGAAAUGGAGACCAAAGGAUCACUGUCUAAGGUUAUCCAAAUAGACUGCUUUCCAAGAAGGGAUGAAAAGGAGAAUGUCAUAAACCCAGUGGGAAAGUACUGGAUGCCUGGGGAGUAGGUCACCUCUUUUCACCCUGACCUUUUCUCCAGGCUUCACUGGCUUCUUGCUGGAGGGUGGUGUUUUGAUGCCUGGUCUUGGCAAGGGUUGCUCUCUCGUGAGAUUUUUUGCAGUUGCCACCUGUAAUCUAUUCUGAGUUGAGGUCCAAAUUUAGAGAAAUGUGAUUGUCUGCCCCUGGUAGGCAAAGACUUCUUAUGUGUUCAGUCAUCUACUCUUUAUCCACUGUCCUUUAUCUUCUUCCAAUCAUACUGGUCCCCUCAAUUUGUCUGCAUCUGGUUCCCGACUCUUGGCUUUGCGCUUGCUGUUUCUCGUUGGUCAGAUCCUGCUGUUUCUGGCCCCGCAUCCUUUCCAAAAGGAGCCUAGUGCCUCUGACCUGUCCAAAGUGAGGCUUGCUGCUAAGAUGGGAUACAUCUCCCGAAUACUGUUUCAACAUGACUUUGAUCCUCAAAACAUUUGACAUACACCAAGAUAGACUAUCAGGAGAUAUAAUGGGACAUUUUGUUGGCUCUGAAAUGGUGAUGUAAGAUCUGAACAAGUAUUCAAUAAAUAGUGAAUAUUGAUAAUUGUGAUUGAGCGCUAUAGUCACAGCCUCCUUCUCUGUCCCAUUUCUUACUCUUCCAUCAUUUCUUUCUUUUCUUUUCUUCUUUUUUUUUUUCUUUUUGCCUUUUUAGGGCCACACUCACGGCAUAUGGAGGUUCCCAGGCUAGGGGUUGAAUCAGAGGUAUAGCUGCCGGCCUACACCACAACCACAGCUACUCAGGAUCCAAGGCACAUCUUUGACCUACACCACAGCUCACAGAAACACAGGAUCCUUAACCUACUGAGUGACGGCAGGGAUUGAACCCUCAUCCUCAUGGAUACUAGUUAGGUUCCUUAACCAUUGAGCUACUAGGGGAACUCCACCAUUUCCUCUCGUUAAUAGCUUUCCUUGCUUAUUUGCAUUUGUGUGUCUACAUUAAUCCAACCAGACUGGGGAGGGACAAACUGAAGUUUUUAAGAAAGCAACAGCGGCCUUUUGCUAAGAACUUAGGUUUUACAGCCAGGCUUCCUCAGUUCAAAUUCUAACCCUGCUCCAUAGCCAGUUUGGGUUCCAGUUCUUGACCCUUUUCUACGUCCACUUGCAAUGGUUGUGUCUAGGGCAGCAUAUACUUCCCAUUGCUUGACCUUAAGCUCACCCAUGUGACUUGCUUUGGCUAAGUUUUAUGUAGGUGGAGAGAUGUCCCAGUGCUAUGAGUCUUAAGAGGCCAAAUAUGUUACUUUGUUAUUUUUUAUCUCUACCAUCACUAUGAAAAGCACAUACCCCAGCCAGGGCACUGGUCCCAAAGGGAUGAAAAAUACAAGGAACGGAACCACCCUAGUUGAAUCCAACUCAUUAGGGCAGCCAGCCUCCUGUAAACCCAGAGGUGCAUGGCCUAACUCGGUGCUUCCUGCUCUCUGCUGCGGAGAAUCUGUAGUCAUUUGUUACACAGCAUUAUGACAACAAUAGCUAACUGAAUCUUCUCUCAGUGUCUUAAGGUCCUCUCAAAUAAUUUGAAAAGAAGAAAUCAGAAGUGGACCUUUUAUAGGGUUGCUGAGGAGGAUAAAUGAGCCCAUGCAUAUGAAGUGCUAAUUAAACUGCCUGAUACACAAGAACCAGUGAGCACUUACCUGUUCCUAUCAUUACCAUGUGCCAGGAGUUUAUGUUCAUUAUUCUUUUUUUUUUUUUUUUUGGUCUUUUUGCCAUUUCUUGGGCUGCUCCCACGGCAUAUGGAGGUUCCCAAGCUAGGGGUCUAAUCGGAGCUGUAGCCACUGGCCUACGCUAGAGCCACAGCAAUGCAGGAUCCGAGCCGCGUCUGCAACCUACACCACAGCUCACGGCAACUCGAGAUCGUUAACCCACUGAGCAAGGGCAGGGAUCGAACCCACAACCUCAUGGUUCCUAGUUGGAUUCGUUAACCACCCCACCACGACGGGAACUCCUAUGUUCAUUAUUCUUAUCCACGUGGGCUUCAGGUUUCCCACCUGCCAAGUGGAGAGAGAUGAGGUUUAAACUGGUGAAAUUCCAAAAGAAUUAUAAGUUCUGUGUAAGUAUGAGAGACACUUAAAGGAUAGUUUUCAGGAACAGAAACAAAGGUGGUUCCCAGUGACCUGCAGAGGAGAAGCUGGAGGGUGAAACUUCAUUGAAAGCUCAAAUGGUAAACUACCCAGGUGACCACACGGCCUCUGCCAACAGAUCAGGAAGGGAAGGGAAAAAGCUUCCUUCCAGGAACUGAUGAUAAAGAGAAAAACAAAGAACCAAAGAUACAAGCCUUGGGUUAGAAGCCUGAAUCCCUGAAAUGAAUCCUGAGUGUCCAUAUUUUACUGCUAUUUCAGUGGAGUUCUUCUACUUCAUCCCACCUUUGUGCCAUGGAUUUUGUCUUUGUUUUAUGCACAACAGGCCUGGGAGGGUUGUGGGGCUACAACCAUGACCUUGUCAGAAGAGGUGGUGUCGUACCCUCCUGCCACAUGGAAGGUUGUAUUCCCAAAUCACUUUCUUUAGGGCUUCUCUCCAGGGGUGGAGAAAAAGGACACGUGUCUACACAGGCACCAGGGCAGAGCCCUGGAUUCAACUUUGCUUUCCUGGAGCCAGGCUGGAGAAAGGUGUUAUCAGGGCUUUUCAGAUGUGUGCUUCUGCAAGCCCAGGAUUUUCCAAGGAUGAACAUUCAAGCCUACUUUAGUAUGAGGCCAGGAAAUGGAAGAGAAGGGGAUACCUUUCCUUGCAGGCACCAACCCAGGGGUCAGUUCAUUUACAAAUAUUCCUGUGGCUCCUACGUCUCCCUAAAAUAACCAGGAAGCCCAAAACUUAAACCUGAGCUUGCAAAGAAGUCUAGCUACAAAGGGCAUCUUUAAAUUGAGUGCCGUUAAUAUCACUCUGCCGAACACUGUAAACCAGCU
rnacentral:lncRNA from 1 species